rnacentral:rRNA from 1 species
CACCUAACUCCAUGCCGAACUUAGAAGUGAAACGCUGUAACGCCGAUGGUAGUGUGGGAGUUUCCCAUGUGAGAGUAGGACACCGCCAGGU